AUCAAUUUCUGAAUCAGCAGCAACAACAGGAAUGCUUGCCUCAUCGGAAUCAGAGAUGGGUACAUCUACCUUUGACCAUAUGCGAAGCUUUAAGGGCUUUUGGUGCUGAAUUUAACUGCUUUCUACCCUGCCGCUCCUCCUGUAUGGCAAGCGAGAAAGAGAAGGAAGAUAAGGCUGCGGGAUCUAGCAAUAGCAGCUCUUGUGGGGCGGUUUUUGCUCGGUGGCUGGUGGCAGUGCAAGAGGGAGACGAAAAGGGAAGAGAGAUAGAGUUGGUGGUUGGCGAAGAUGAAGAAGAAGACAGGGAAGAUAGUACAGAGAGGAGGAGGAGCUAUAGGAGGCAUGUGUUUGAAGAGAUUGAAUUCAAGGAAGAGAAAUAUGGA
rnacentral:misc_RNA from 1 species